AGAUGGAUCAUUCGCAUUUAGAGUCCGUUAGUAUGUCGGUUAUCACGUGGUAAAAUAUAGCAAACGAACUUACAGACCGUUGGUUAAAAUAUAGCAAACGAACUUACAGACCGUUGGUUAAAAUAUAGCAAACGAACUUACAGACCGUUGGUUAAAAUAUAGCAAACGAACUUACAGACCGUGGUUAAAAUAUAGCAAACGAACUUACAGACCGUGGGUUAAAAUAUAGCAAACGAACUUACAGACAAAAAACCUUACAACUUUUAGCGAUGGAUGUCUCGGGUCUCGUAUCGAUGAAGAACGCAGCAAACUGUGACAAGCAGUGUGACUUGCAGACUUCAAAGAAUCACUAGAACUUUGAACGCAAAAGGUACUUCAAGGUUAUACUUGAAGUAUGUUCACUUCAGUGCUUACGAUUUUUGUUAUCUCCUUUGGGAGAUAACGUGGAUAGAGGCUGUUAUUAUGGCUUCUGAAGUCUAAGUUUGAAAAUCUUUGGCGAAACCAUAGAAUAUUUCAAACUGAUUUAAAUAAUCAAGCCUGAAUUUGAGCAAGGCUACCCGCUGAAUUUAAGCAUAUUAUUAAGCGGAGGAAAAGAAACUAACUAGGAUUCCCUUAGUAACGGCGAGUGAACAGGGAAAAGCUCAAUUUGAAAAUCGGCAGUUUACUGUCGAAUUGUAGUCUCACGAAGUGCAGCCUGUGUUUGUUCUGGGUUAAGUCUUUUGGAAAAAAGUACCGCAGAGGGUGAAAGUCCCGUCUGGACUCAGAAACAAAUACGUUCGGUGCAUUUUCUUAGAGUCGCGUUCUUUGAGAUUGGAGCGCUAAUUGGGUGAUAAAUUUCAUCUAAAGCUAAAUACUAACGAGAUUCCGAUAGCAUACAAGUACCGUGAGGGAAAGAUGAAAAGAACUUUGAAAAGAGAGUUAAAAGUGACUGAAAUCGCUAUAAGUGAAGCGGAGUGUUUGGGUGUCUAGCAGUUCUUCCUGGCUGGUUCGCUGGGCAUGGAAGUGCUUGUGGUGACUUUGGGAUAGAUCGUAGUUAGCGAAUAAUGGUACAGGAAUCUUUAGCUUGCUAUUGAUUCCUUAUCCAGGAUUUCAUUAACUUAGAUCUAGGUCUCUAAUAUUGGUAUAACCGAUAUUAUAACAUCCCAAAGAAAUCCUUUCUCUCCGUCCCGUCUUGAAACACGGACCAAGGAGUCUAAUUUGCGUGCAAGUACAAGGGUGGAAAACCCACGUGCGAAACGAAAAUGAUUGUUAGGAAGGGCAACCUGCACUAACACCCAUCUAUCCAGAUGAGGUUGAGCACACAGAUUAGGACCCGAAAGAUGGUGAACUAUGCCUGAGUAGGGUGAAGCCAGGGGAAACUCUGGUGGAAGCUCGUAGCGAUACUGACGUGCAAAUCGUUCGUCAAACUUGGGUAUAGGGGCGAAAGACCAAUCGAACCAUCUAGUAGCUGGUUCCCUC
rnacentral:misc_RNA from 1 species